rnacentral:rRNA from 1 species
UACGAAGGGGGCUAGCGUUGUUCGGAAUUACUGGGCGUAAAGCGUGCGCAGGCGGCUUCUCAAGUCAGGGGUGAAAGCCCAGAGCUCAACUCUGGAAUUGCCUUUGAGACUGAGUGGCUUGAGUACGAGAGAGGUGAGUGGAAUUCCCAGUGUAGAGGUGAAAUUCGUAGAUAUUGGGAAGAACACCGGUGGCGAAGGCGGCUCACUGGCUCGCAACUGACGCUCAUGCACGACAGCGUGGGGAUCAAACAGG